rnacentral:lncRNA from 1 species
AUUUGGAUGGAGCAAGACAUAGCAGCUCUUGCAGCAAUAGCAAAGGAAGCAAAUCAACUCCGAGCCACAGUGUCAACUCCACAAAAGAAAGUGACAACUCAAGCAGAGAAGAACCCCAGUCCUGCGAUCCCAGUAUCAACUGAACUAAAGAUUUCCAGGUUUAAAGAUCACAUCUACAUGACCACAGGGGAGACCAGUGCCCUUUAUGAUGGUGGGUCNACAGGUAAGGCAGAUAAAAAGAAGCAGUACCAAGGAUGAGAAUAGGCAGAGCUACUUCAGCCUAGCACUGUGCGACAGUUGAGGCUAAGANAACGAUUGGCUGAAGCUCAGCCAAUGAGCAUCCAUUAUUACUGAGAGGAUAUUUGAACCCUGUUCUCUGCACCUUAGUGCAACUCUUGAGU